rnacentral:rRNA from 1 species
UGGGGAAUAUUGGACAAUGGGCGAAAGCCUGAUCCAGCCAUGCCGCGUGUGUGAAGAAGGUCUUCGGAUUGUAAAGCACUUUAAGUUGGGAGGAAGGGCAGUAAGUUAAUACCUUGCUGUUUUGACGUUACCGACAGAAUAAGCACCGGCUAACUCUGUGCCAGCAGCCGCGGUAAUACAGAGGGUGCAAGCGUUAAUCGGAAUUACUGGGCGUAAAGCGCGCGUAGGUGGUUUGUUAAGUUGGAUGUGAAAUCCCCGGGCUCAACCUGGGAACUGCAUUCAAAACUGACAAGCUAGAGUAUGGUAGAGGGUGGUGGAAUUUCCUGUGUAGCGGUGAAAUGCGUAGAUAUAGGAAGGAACACCAGUGGCGAAGGCGACCACCUGGACUGAUACUGACACUGAGGUGCGAAAGCGUGGGGAGCAAACAGGAUUAGAUACCCCAGUAGUCCCUGAGCGGGCUGGCAAGGCGCAU